CCGUUCUAUAAUUCUUGUCGCCGUUUUAGUACAAAAUUGAAAUAAAACAGCGACAAAAAUUAUGGAACGGAGGAAGUAUGUUCUUGAGAGGAGAUUUAAAAUGAAUUAUGCGUGUCUCCUGAGUCGGAUACAUGUCACCUUGGACAAAGCUGUACCGCGGAGCAUUGGCGGUUACGCUGAAUCCAAGCUCGGAAACUUCUAACUGAAGCAUUAUAGUAUAGGAAUUGAUGGCUCUCGCCGGCUAAAGAUAAAUUAGUGCUACGUACCGUAUACCAAAUGGUAACUUAGACCACAAGAGAAUGUGCUGGAUCGUACGUGCCUACGUGAGUCGUCUGCCUAGUCCAGCGAAUUGGACUUGAGGCUAGCUUUGGCGGGUGUUUUAAUAUCUUGCAUUCUCUGCCUCGCUGCCGAAGCCAAGGGCUUGUUUGGUUGCUGCCUUGGAGUCCAUGUGCCCGCCUGGAGCCUCCCUGGAAACUGCCUGUGUCCUGUUUGUUCAGUACCCUGAAAUCUGUCUGGUUCAGGCGACCGAAAACGAGCGCCUGAGUAUGGCUUCCGUUCACCAAGCAUGCCUGAGCCUCUGUCCUUGUUCCUCGACUUGGUGCCGGUGCUCCGGCUGCCGUCAACCACGAUGACGUCGUGCUGCUGCUCUUGCCGCCGGCGACUGACCAAAUUGGUAACUAAAAUAUGAAGCACAGGCUGCUGUGACCGAGUAUGAUGCGUCGCCAACUUGCCAUGGUCAAGGUCGGCACAACAAUUGCAAUCAGAAUGAAAAUUUGGAGCUGCUCUUUGUUCAUAGUUGGAUCUGGAUCUCGUGUGGUCAUGGUUUAUUACGGGUUGAUGUAGCUUCAAUUGGACACUUGUGCUCGUGGUUUCUGUUAGGAGAACUAGAUUAGGUGGUUCAGAAGAACUUGGGGAGUAUCACAGACUCACAGGGAACUCGUGGAACAGAGUAGAUUUGGGACUAGAAGAGAGAUGAACAAAGCGUAUUUCAGUUCUUUACGUUUUCUCAA